CAUAGGUUAAUGAGGCGAACCGGGGGAACUGAAACAUCUAAGUACCCCGAGGAAAAGAAAUCAACCGAGAUUCCCCCAGUAGCGGCGAGCGAACGGGGAGGAGCCCAGAGCCUGAAUCAGUGUGUGUGUUAGUGGAAGCGUCUGGAAAGGCGCGCGAUACAGGGUGACAGCCCCGUACACAAAAAUGCACAUGCUGUGAGCUCGAUGAGUAGGGCGGGACACGUGGUAUCCUGUCUGAAUAUGGGGGGACCAUCCUCCAAGGCUAAAUACUCCUGACUGACCGAUAGUGAACCAGUACCGUGAGGGAAAGGCGAAAAGAACCCCGGCGAGGGGAGUGAAAAAGAACCUGAAACCGUGUACGUACAAGCAGUGGGAGCACAGAGCAAUCUGUGUGACUGCGUACCUUUUGUAUAAUGGGUCAGCGACUUAUAUUCUGUAGCAAGGUUAACCGAAUAGGGGAGCCGAAGGGAAACCGAGUCUUAACUGGGCGUUAAGUUGCAGGGUAUAGACCCGAAACCCGGUGAUCUAGCCAUGGGCAGGUUGAAGGUUGGGUAACACUAACUGGAGGACCGAACCGACUAAUGUUGAAAAAUUAGCGGAUGACUUGUGGCUGGGGGUGAAAGGCCAAUCAAACCGGGAGAUAGCUGGUUCUCCCCGAAAGCUAUUUAGGUAGCGCCUCGUGAAUUCAUCUCCGGGGGUAGAGCACUGUUUCGGCAAGGGGGUCAUCCCGACUUACCAACCCGAUGCAAACUGCGAAUACCGGAGAAUGUUAUCACGGGAGACACACGGCGGGUGCUAACGUCCGUCGUGAAGAGGGAAACAACCCAGACCGCCAGCUAAGGUCCCAAAGUCAUGGUUAAGUGGGAAACGAUGUGGGAAGGCCCAGACAGCCAGGAUGUUGGCUUAGAAGCAGCCAUCAUUUAAAGAAAGCGUAAUAGCUCACUGGUCGAGUCGGCCUGCGCGGAAGAUGUAACGGGGCUAAACCAUGCACCGAAGCUGCGGCAGCGACACUGUGUGUUGUUGGGUAGGGGAGCGU
rnacentral:rRNA from 1 species